rnacentral:rRNA from 1 species
CUGGCGGCGUGCCUAACACAUGCAAGUCGAGCGCGAAAAGAGCAAUCUGAGUAGAGCGGCGCACGGGUGCGUAACACGUGGGUAAUCUGCCUCACGGUCUGGGAUAACCAUUCGAAAGUUUGGCUAAUACCAGUUAAGCUCACGGUGACUUCGGUCGCUGAGAGAAAAGGGGCCCGAAAGGGUCUCGCCAUGAGAUGAGCCCGCGGCCCAUCAGCUAGUUGGUGAGGUAAUGAGCUCACCAAGGCGUCGACCGGUGAGGUAACGGCUCACCAAGGCUUUGACGGACGGCCUACCAAGGCGAUGAUCGGUAGCUGGUUUGAGAGGGUGAUCGGUCACACUGGAACUGAGACACGGUCCCGACUCCUAGGGGAGGCAGCAGUGGGGAAUAUUGCACAAUGGGCGCAACCCUGAUCCAGCCAUGCCGCGUGAAUGAAGAAGGCCUUAGGGUUGUAAAGCUCUUUCACCGGUGAAGAUAAUGACGGUAACCGGGAGAAUAAGCUCCGGCUAACUCCUGUGCCAGCAGCCGCGGUAAUACGGAGGGUGCACAGCAGCCGCGGUAAUACGGAGGGAGCAAGCGUUAAUCGGAAUUACUGGGCGUAAAGCGUAUGUAGGCGGUUUUGUAAGACAGAUGUGAAAUCCCAGAGCUUAACUUUGGAACUGCAUUUGUGACUGCAAGACUUGAGGAUCGGAGAGGUUGGCGGAAUUCCAAGUGUAGAGGUGAAAUUCGCAGAUAUUUGGAGGAACACCGAUGGCGUAAGCAGCCAACUGGACGAUUAUUGACGCUGAGCCCUGGACAAACUGACGCUGAGGCUCGAAAGCGUGGGGAGCAAACAGGAUUAGAUACCCUUAGUCCACGCCGUAAACGAUGACAUGUUAGCCGUCGGGCAGUAUACUUUCGCUGAAGCUAACGCAUUAAGUUCUGCCGUAGCUAACGCAUUAAGUAUGCCGGAGCUAACGCGUUAAACGCGCCACCUGGGAAGUACGAUCGCAAAUUAAACUGGGAGUACGUUCGCAAGAACGAAAACUCUUGGAAAUUGACGGGGACCCGCACAAGCGGUGGAGCAUGUGGUUUAAUUCGAAGCAACGCGAAGAACCUUACCUACGCUUGUAUCCUGAUCGCGACUUUCAGAGAUGAGAGUCUUCAGUUCGGCUGGAUCAGCACAGGUGCUGCAUGGCUGUCGUCAGCUCGGUCGUGA